AGCAGCCGCGGUAACUCCAGCUCCAAUAGCAUAUAUUAAAAUUGCUGCAGUUAAAAAGCUCGUAGUUGGAUCUGGGUUCUGGUCUGGGAUACCGUGGAUUGUUAUAAUGUUAUGCAUUUAGCUUUUCAUGGUUUAUCCAGGCCGAAUCUUCCAGCUGUGUCUGUGUGGUACUUCGGUACUGCAUAGAUAGUGCAGUUGUCUGCGCUUGCCUCACGGCUUGCCAGCUUCGGCACUAUGCACUGUUAUGCCUUUAACUGGGUGUACAGUGUGGACAGCACGUUUACUUUGAACAAAUUUGAGUGCUCAAAGCAGGCCUU
rnacentral:rRNA from 1 species